AUUGAACGCUGGCGGCAUGCCUUACACAUGCAAGUCGAACGGCAGCACGGGGCAACCUGGUGGCGAGUGGCGAACGGGUGAGUAAUGCAUCGGAACGUACCUUUCAGUGGGGGAUAACGUAGCGAAAGUUACGCUAAUACCGCAUAUUCUGUGAGCAGGAAAGCAGGGGAUCGCAAGACCUUGCGCUGAUUGAGCGGCCGAUGUCAGAUUAGCUAGUUGGUGAGGUAAAGGCUCACCAAGGCGACGAUCUGUAGCGGGUCUGAGAGGAUGAUCCGCCACACUGGAACUGAGACACGGUCCAGACUCCUACGGGAGGCAGCAGUGGGGAAGUUUGGACAAUGGGGGCAACCCUGAUCCAGCCAUGCCGCGUGAGUGAAGAAGGCCUUCGGGUUGUAAAGCUCUUUCGGCCGGGAAGAAAUCGCACGGGCUAAUACCCUGUGUGGAUGACGGUACCGGAAUAAGAAUCACCGGCUAACUACGUGCCAGCAGCCGCAGUAACAC
rnacentral:rRNA from 1 species